rnacentral:lncRNA from 1 species
UCUGGCCCUACCGCGCUGGCUCUUGCGCAACUCUGGAGAAAAGGAUUUAUUUCUCCCAACCCCUCCCUCCCGGGGGAUUUCCGGAGUGCCGGGCCUCGCACCCCGAGGGCGCCCCCUCCGAGGUCCCGCCGCCGGCGCUUCGCAGCAGUGAGAGUGGCCACCGCGUGGUGACACCCAUGCCAUCCGGUCGCGCUGCUGCUGCGGGGGUCGGGCAGAAGUGUUCAAUGAGGUUCGCCAGGUCACGGGGCGCAGAUGUGGCUCCCACCUCAAUGGAGAGCGCAACUGGAGAAUAUUUCCUGGAAAUAAGAUUUCCCAGGCCGGGCGCCGUGAAUAGCCAUCACUUUGGGAGGCAUCCAAAAGCCAUCACCCCUGGAAUGCCACCACUUUGGGAGGCCGAGUUGGGAGGAUCGCUUGAACCCAAGAACUAGAGAUCAGCCUGGGUAACAUAGCGAAACCCCUCUUCUACAAAAAAAAAAAAAAAAAAUGAAAAAGAAAAAAAGCCGGUUCCAGUUACUCGGGAGACUGAGUUGGGAUGAUCACUUGAGCCUUGGGGGUCGAGGCUGCAGUGAGCCUUUAUCACACCACUUCACUCGGCCUGGGUGACAGAGCAAGACCUUGUCUCAAAAAACAAACAAACAAAAAAAAAACAAAAAAAACUCCCCUCCAGGUUCUGGAGUAGCCCAGACUCGGAGCCUUGGCCUAAGAUGAUUAAUAGUGACUUGAUACAUUUCAAGCCCUGUGAAAGGGAUUUGUGUUCUGGAGGCACUUAUAAUAUAAGCACAUGAUUUUGAUAGUUUAGGGAGUCUGAGCCCAACAUAUGUGGCCAAAAUUGUUGGGUCAUUGGUGACCAAAGAUAGGUUCCUUUCAGCCACAAACACAUUUCAUGGGCGCCAUGCUAGGCUACAAAGAUGAAAUAGUAAUAGUACCCUCAGGACGAGGACACUCAUAGAUCAAAAUAACAAAAUUAGGCCAGGCGUGGUGGCUCAUGCCUGUAAUCCUAGCACUUUGGGAGGCCAAGGUGGGUGGAUCACCUGAGGUCAGGAGUUCGAGACCAGCCUGGCCAACAUGGUGAAACCCCAUCUCUACUAAAAAUACAAAAAAUUAGUCAGGCAUCAUGGCUCACGCCUGUAAUCCCAGCUACUCAGGAGGCUGAGGCAGGAGAAUCGCUUGAACCUGGGAAAUGGAGGUUUUCUCAGUGAGCUGAGAUCACACCACUGCAUUUCAGCCUGGGUGAGAGAACGAGACUCUGUCUCAAAAAUAUAAAUAAAUAAAAACAAAAUUAUGUUAUGUGGUUUAUUAAAUGGAAAGGAGAGGAUUUUAAAAAGUAGAGACAUGCCCAGAGCUGAGGGCCAGGGGCCUGGGCUCAGAGGAAGGACCACGGAGGUUUUCUGACAGAUGACAUCAGAGUUUUCAAAAGGAAGUAAUUACUAACCAGGCAAAGAAAAAUAAGAUUAGCAUUCCAGGCCCAGAAAACAACUGGAGGAAAUGCAUACACAGAGCUUGCUUCCCUGGGACUAUGAAAGCACUUAAAUAAGUGUGAGGCAGCAAAUGGAGAGAGAAACAAAGAGGCAAAGUCACCAGAGUCCUGCUGAGAAUCUUGGAUUAUUUUUGGUAUUAAGGAGAAAGUAAGAACAUGGGCAGACUAGUAUUUCAAGAGAUCACUGUGGCCGUGGAGUGAGUGCCCGCCAUACAAAACAAAAUAGAAAAUUUAAAAUAAGGCUUUUUAAAAACCACAAAAGCUGGCCAGGCAUGGUAGCUCACAGUUCUGUAAUCCCGGCGCUUUGGGAGGCCGAAGCCUGGACAAUAUAGUGAGACCCGCAACCAUAUCUACAAAAAAUUUAAAAAUUAGCUGGGUGUGGUGUUGCAUAACCUGUGGUUCCAGCUACAUGAGAGGCUUACGUGGGAGGCUCACUUGAGCCCGGA